rnacentral:rRNA from 1 species
AUGUUACGAGCUUCUGGAAUACAAUGGGAUCUUCGUAAAGUAGAUCCUUAUGAGUCUUACAACCAAUUUGAUUGGAAAGUCCAAUGGCAAAAAGAAGGGGAUUCGUUAGCUCGCUAUUUAGUACGAGUUGGUGAAAUGAGGGAAUCCAUCAAAAUAAUUCAACAAGCUGUAGAAAAAAUUCCUGGAGGACCUUAUGAGAAUUUAGAAGUCCGACGCUUUAAGAAAGAAAAGAAUUCUGAAUGGAAUGAUUUUGAGUAUAAAUUUCUUGGUAAAAAACCUUCGCCCAAUUUUGAAUUGUCAAGACAAGAGCUUUAUGUAAGAGUAGAAGCCCCAAAAGGUGAAUUAGGGAUUUAUCUAGUAGGAGAUGAUAGCCUUACGGAUAUACCAAGGAGGGAAACGGCUUGA